UCCGGCUUAUGACCGGCAGUCUCGCUAGAGUGCCCGACAUUACUCGCUGGCAACUAACGACAAGGGUUGCGCUCGUUGCGGGACUUAACCCAACAUCUCACGACACGAGCUGACGACAGCCAUGCAGCACCUGUGCACGGACUCCGAAGAGAGGGUGUGUUUCCACACCUGUCCCGUGCAUGUCAAGCCUGGGUAAGGUUCUUCGCGUUGCGUCGAAUUAAACCACAUGCUCCACCGCUUGUGCGGGCCCCCGUCAAUUCCUUUGAGUUUCAACCUUGCGGUCGUACUCCCCAGGCGGGACACUUAAUGCGUUAGCUGCGGCACUGGAGGGGUCGAUGCCUCCAACACCUAGUGUCCACCGUUUACGGUCAGGACUAC
rnacentral:misc_RNA from 1 species